CUCCCCAGAGGCCCCUCAUGAACCCAGCCUUGGAGGGGGCUCAGCCAACCUGAGCCAAAAACUGCAGACCACCUGCUUUCUAGAGGAAGGGGUCCUGUUGGCCUCUGACCAGUCCCCAAGAAGCCCCUUGCUUCUGCAGGGUGAUUUCAGCCUGUGUGAUACUUAGGGUCUCCCCGAAACCCUAGACGAAGUGUCUGGGCAUGUCCUGGACUUGCUGGCUGGGGCCUUGGCUUCCCUUGUCCUUGGUUGAACCAGGGGGAGGCAGGCUGGACAGGCGAUGGCCUCUGUGACCUCCCCCCUCUGGGCCUGGGGUGUCUGUUAUCCAGAGUCCACCUCCUUAGCCACAUAGCAGAGCUCAGGGUCUUUGCAGGCUAUAGGCACGGCCACCAGAUCCAGCAAACGUUAAUAAAAAUACAGGGCACCCAGUUCACUUCGCAUUUCAGACAGUGAAUAACUUUUCAGAUGUCCCAGCCCUGAGUGAGCCCAGCUGUCAGUAGACAGAUGAUCAUUGCUCGUUCAGCUAGAAUUCCAAGGUAGCCCAGGGUCCUGUAUUUUACCAGACAACCAUACAGCGGAGUCACAGUAAAAGAUCUUUACCCCCAACAUAAAAAGAAAGAAAAAUAUGGUGUGGGUUGUGCGAGUGUGAGCAGAUCGGGCAUGUCUGGGUGUGCCUGAGAGGCACCCCGCCCAGGUCUACGUGGGGCCAGCAUGUGCACCUGUGGGAGUGGAGUGGGGACGCGGGGUGUCAGGCUGGGCACAUCUGCCCGUGUGUGUGCACGCAUUGGAGAGUGCGGUCGGUGCCCAUGGGGGCGCACCUCCUGGUUCCCACCUGUCUGGGCGUCCAGGGACAAUAACUGCAGCCUGGGAGCAGGGGUCCCAGCUACCUUAGAGGCCUGGGCAGCGUCAUCCCAGGUCCCACGACCCUGCUGGCUGGGACCUCUGGCCAUGCGGCAGGAACGUCUGAUGCAAGUGGCUGCAAGCGUCCCUUCCUGCUGGCUGACUCACCCUCGCCUCAUUCCAGUGGCUCAGCAGUCCUGGGGAUAGAGCCAGGGCCUGCUGUCCUCCACUGGGGGCUGGGAGCAGGCAGGGCAGGUGUGGCCAGGAGCUCGGGGCUGCCCAUCUGCCCAGGCUGGCCGUAGGACCUGUCCACCCUGCCGUGAUGCUGGGAGGGUAGCACUGUGUCUGUCCCACCCUGCUGAGAAUGGACCAGUCUGGACUCUCAGAUCCGUAUCUAGUUUGGAGAACGACUAAAAGCCUGGUGCUGCCCCUGAGGUGACCUGUGACAUCCGGGCAGCUGGUGUUUUGGAGCCCGGGCUCGUGCCCAAACCCAAACUCAGCAUCUUGGCCGCAGCAGGGACUGCUACCUGCACCCAGAGGGUUCCAGAUUGUCGAGCUCCAGUCCCAGCACCAGACCUGGGGCAUCUGCUGCCUCCUACCCUCCAGGUUCACAGCAGCAGGAUUCACGGGAGCUAAAAGGCAGAAACAACCUGAGUGCCCGUGGACAGACGGAUGGGCAAACACGUGGUCCACCCACACGCUGGAAUAUCACACAGUCGUGAAAAGGGACAAGACUCUGACACAGGCCACAGCAGGAGGGACCUUGAGGACAUUGUGCUCAGUGAGAGACGCCAGACACAGAAGGACACGUCCUUUGUGGUUCCACUCACAGGAGGUCCCUAGAGGUGUCAGAUCCACAGAGACAGGAAGUAGGGUGGUGGGUACCAGGGGCUGAGGAGGGGGUGGGGACUGAGUGUUUCAUGGGGACAGAGCAUCAGUUUGGGAAGGUGGUGACAGCUGCAGCACCAUGUGUGUGUACUCAACGUGUAACCAACAUGAGAAGUACUGCUGAGCUG